AGAGUUUGAUUAUGGCUCAGGAUGAACGCUAGCGACAGGCUUAACACAUGCAAGUCGAGGGGCAGCGGGGGAGUAGCAAUACUCCCGCCGGCGACCGGCGCACGGGUGAGUAACACGUAUGAAACCUGCCCGUAGCAGGGGGAUAAGCGGAAGAAAUUCCGUCUAAUACCGCGUAACAACCCGAGGAGGCAUCUCCUCGGGUUUAAAGGGAGCGAUUCCGGCUACGGAUGGUCAUGCGUCGCAUUAGCUUGUUGGCGGGGUAACGGCCCACCAAGGCGACGAUGCGUAGGGGUUCUGAGAGGAAGGUCCCCCACACUGGUACUGAGACACGGACCAGACUCCUACGGGAGGCAGCAGUGAGGAAUAUUGGUCAAUGGCCGCAGGGCUGAACCAGCCAAGUCGCGUGAGGGAUGACGGUCCUAUGGAUUGUAAACCUCUUUUGUCAGGGAGCAAAGGGCGCCACGUGUGGCGUUUUGCGAGUACCUGAAGAAAAAGCAUCGGCUAACUCCGUGCCAGCAGCCGCGGUAAUACGGAGGAUGCGAGCGUUAUCCGGAUUUAUUGGGUUUAAAGGGUGCGCAGGCGGAAUGUCAAGUC
rnacentral:rRNA from 1 species